rnacentral:rRNA from 1 species
ACGCUCGACACCUACGGGAGGCAGCAGUCGGGAAUAUUGCGCAAUGGAGGAAACUCUGACGCAGUGACGCCGCGUGCAGGAAGAAGGUUUUCGGAUUGUAAACUGCUUUAGACAGGGAAGAACAAAUGACAGUACCUGUAGAAUAAGCUCCGGCUAACUACGUGCCAGUAGCCGCGGUAAUCUGAGCGGGCUGGCAAGGC